GCUACAGCAGGCAAAUCAGGAGAUGCAAAGAGCCAAGUUUCAUCUUUUAAAGCAACUUUUAAACAUCCCUGCCCUCACCCCGCUUCCUCCUGGACGUUGACCUGGAGGGUGCAGGAGGUAGGCCUUUGGGAGAGGCGAGGACUGCCACAGUCAAAGCGCCUAACCUCGCCCACGUCCUGGGCUGGGGGAUCACUCAAACUUUCCGUGCCUGGAAGGGCAGCCUGGACGCGGGGGAGGCGCCGGCGCGCGGAGUCCCGGCGGGCGCCCGCACACCCCGGGCAGCGCCGCGUCCGUUGGGGCCGUUGAGAGGGCGGCCACCGCCCCUCAUGGGCAGUCAGGGCUCGGGGCUGUCCGCAAGGUCCGGGUUCCAGCCCACCCCCGCCCCGCGCGUCGAAGCAGAGCCGGUUCCUGUGAAUUGGCCCCUACCUGCUGUUCCAGACUCAUUCCUCACUACUUCCUCCCAGGAACUCGUUUCUGCACCAGCGAAACCAGGACAUCUCCUGAGCUCACAAGGACCUCUGCUUUGAUCUUUGCUCUUCCCCCACCUCACCGAGGCAUGAUUCAAAUUCAGGAUAAUCUGACUCCAGAGCUUGCAAGCUUUCCAACAGCAGGAGGAGUCGGAGGAAGACAGGGCCACUAAAAAUGGUGCCAGGGAGCCUAUGCCAAGGGCCAAACGAGCGGCCACAUCAAAUUGCCAUCUGAAUCGGGGAGUGAAGAUGGGAAUGGAGGAAAUGACCAAGCUCUAGUGUACUGGAGUGGCUUCACGGAAGAAAUGGCUAUUUCUUGAAUGAAUCUUGGAGCAGAAAUGGCCAUGCUGUCACGCAACAGGACAAACAGCUUUUGCAUCAAUACUAGGCAAAAUCUCACAAAAGCCACAUACAUGGAAGUGGGAACAUGAAAAGUACUUCUCCAAUUCAAAUGUUGGAGAUUCACAAAUUCAUGGCCAAAAAGGUGAUUUUUGGUAUCAAAGGUCAGCUAAUAAGUAAAGCCUGUCCUUUUUUUUUAAGCUAGAAAAGUCUGAUUUUGGAUCCGUGAAUCCAUAUCCUUGAAUCUGAACAUUUACCCCACUGGAUUUGGGGUGCCUAGCCUGACUUCUGUCACAAGUUGUCAAUGAUUUAAUAAUAAUAAGUUAUUAAAAAUA